UCGACGACACACGCUACAGGAGGCCUUCGGUGUUUAAAAAUUAGGCACAGUGAAUUGAAGUCACUGAGGAACAAGUGAGCUUUUUUGGUACUAGUAACCAUCACUUCCGAACCCUGGCCUGCAGCUAUAGAGCCCUUAGAUAAAACUAGUCAUCUUGUCAUUCACAAAGGAGAGCACACAGAUUGUGGUUUUUCUUAUCAGCAAUUCAAGUUAUUUGUAAACUCCAAAUCCUCCUAUUUCACUCAAUGGCCUAGACUUGGCCCAGGGUACCUACACAGUAAAAAAUGUAGUGUUAAUAUUUCAGAGUAAAGUUAUUUUAACCCAGAUAGAGUAUUUUCAACAUUUUUGGGAGUAAAGUUGCUCUAUCAGUGGAGUUAAAAGUGAGUGUAAAAUCUGCAGAAACACAGUGACAAGUUUAACUCUACAGCAGUGAUAAAUACCCGCCACAAAAAACAAAAAUGAAAAAAAAAUGAAAAAAACCCGCCAUUUUGCUGCUUGUCGUCAAACGGCACGCAUUUCGGUGGAUGGAUGAGAUCCCGAAAAGAGCAACGCAAAGCUACUGAUAUUGCUAGAUACACAAUGCUGUUGCGUGUUCAAUUCAAGGAAGAGCAGAAAUAUGUCAAGAUGUCUGAGCUGACAUUCAACGUUUUCUUGAAAGAAGGUGCCUCUCAAUCAUCAUGUCUGGGUACAUCUGAGGACACCGCCAUCCUGAAUUUCACGUUUUGGGACCCCAUUGAAGAAGAAGCCGCUGCAGAAGAAAGCCAGCCUAAAAGGCCAUGCCACAUUAACCUUGAGGCAAAUGCGGGAAGUGGUUGAAAUUGCUAAGUCAAAAGUCCAAUCUGAAUAUUGUUUCACCCUGGGAAGUAUUCUUUAGAUAAAAAAAAAUGUCCCAUCAUUAUUACAUAUGGUUUUACAAUAACCGAAAGCAUGUUUUAUUCCACCUAUAGCUGAUUGAAAAAAUCUUAACUUCUAAGCCUGGUGGUGAACGCAUCAUCCAAGAAUAUAGAAAAACUAAAUCCCUGACGGAUGCCACCAGAAGACAGAUGAUUAACAUACUUGCUGCUGAGAUGACAGAGAAACAUGGGACAUCCCCCUCCAAAAGUGUCAGAGUGAUGUAUGCACAGGGGAUAGUAGCUUUGUUUCCCUGUCUAGAAGACCCAUACUCACAACAUGGAUAUGAACAUUACUACGAUCCAGAGAGUGGUUUGGGAUAUCUUGCAUGGCGAUUAAAGACCAUACAAAGAAAAACAGCAGAGGAAAGAGGUGCCUCAAUCAGCAAAUCUCCUAAAGUUGGUGGGCCAGGUCGUGGUCAUCAGCCCUGUACCUUUGACAGAGAGCCAUCUGAUGAGGAUGUGGAAGCAGCUAUUUCUGUUUUGAGACACUCUGCUGAUGAAAAGACUGUCCGUGAGAAGAUGAAAGUGACCUUCAUAUAUCGGCAAGCAAUGUUCAACGAUGAAGCCAAAUCAUCAAAUUUCUUCUCUGUUCCACGAUUUCUGGACACACCGGGACUGAUAGAACAAGAUUUCUGUUUGGUGAGGCCACGGCCAACAAAUUCUUGGAGAAGUGGCCAACCACUUUUAAAGCAAAAGUAAUAAAAGAAAGCCAUGGACUUGUACCCACCACAGAACUCUUGGAUUUGAUGCGCAAUGCUGAGUCAGCUGCUGAAGUUGAGAAUGGCUGGGACAAUGAGAUGUCUGCCAUCUUGCUGCUGCUACAUUUGCUUCCACCAUCUGCCCAAGGAAGAAAGAGGCCGGGGAAGCUUUCAGUAUAUCAAGCUGUAGAUCAGCUCAUCAGAUUUCAAAAGGUUGGAAGCAGUGUGCAGCAGCAUCUAGACAACAUCACCAUAAGCAGUCAGCCCUACCUUCUUGCCCAGGGAUCCACACAGAGCACCAUUCACUCCUACUACAUUGUGGUUGACAAGCAUGCCCUUCCAUGCAAGGCAACAGGUUCAGUUGGAGCUUUUGACAAACUCUUUAAAGCCCAUUACGUCUUUGGUACCUCAUACAGUUAUUCCCUUGGCAGCUUUUUCACUUUUGUGCAAACAACCAUCUACAACAUCGACAUGGGGGAAACAAGAGACUCCUAGAGUUGCAGAGUUGAGGGCAAGAAUGUUGCGUUAGUUAAGAUAAAACUAUGAAGUGUUUUCUUUGCAAAAGUGACCAUGGAAGUCCAAGCAACCUUGUCAAGCACUUUAAGGUAAUUCAUGGGCUACGUACAGGCAGGACUCUUUUUCUGAAGUGUGGUCAAGAAGGAUGCUCACGUUCUUUUGGUAGUUUAUCAGGUUUAAGAAAGCAUUUUAAUAAGUGCCAUGGAAGCAGUUCAGUUGAUUCUGUAGAAAAUUAUCUUUCAUAUCCUCAAUGUACCGUCAAUACAAGUAAUGUUUCUCAUGUUGAAGAGUCGACUGAAUAUUUAGAUGCUGAAUCACAGUUAUCUUAGCCAUACAUUGUAAAUAGUUGUUCAGCUGUAAUUUCUGAUCUAAAGGCAGCAGGUGUUGGUCAAAGUACACUGAAUUCUGUAGUGAUUUCCAUGGAAGAGAUUGUUCAAGAUAUCCAUCAGCAUGCUAAAGAGACAGUGAUAACGCAUGUAUUUAGUAAUGAAAGAGAAACGGAAAUGUGCAAGAAAGUUGAGGCGUGUUUUGAGGGGUUAGAGAAUCCUAAAUUCGGAAUACAAGCGAUCAAAAUUUAUGACUGACAAGUGGGAAAUAGUAGAACCAGUUGAAUGUGUGAUUGGUUCAAGAUUUGACACAAGACGAAAUAAAAAGACUGGAACGUAUGAUCAGGUAGUAGUUCAAGAUAAAUUCAUGUAUAUUCCAAUUUUAUCUACACUGCAGUCAAUAUUUAAAAGUCAAUAUGUUGCAGAAAUGUUGCACAGCUCAGCUACCAGCGACUCUUUUAAAAGUCAACCCCUGUUCUCAACUGAGAAGCAGACAAUACAGAUCCAGAUGUUCUAUGAUGACUUUGAGGUCGCCAACCCUCUUGAUCCUAAGCGAGGUAUUCAUAAAUUGGGUGGAGUUUAUUUUACUUUAAGAAACUUCUCUCCAAAAUGGAAUUCUUUCUUAGCUAACAUACACCUGUGCGCCUUAUUUCAUACUCAAGAUGUUAAACGUUAUGGUUUUAGUGAAAUUUUUGCUCCCAUUGUUCGAGACAUUAAAGUGUUAGAGAGUGAUGGUGUUGAGAUUCCAUUAUACAAUGGCUAUGUUCGUGGCAUUGUAAUACAGGUUACUGGUGAUAAUUUGGGUUUGCAUAGUUUGUUUGGUCUGGUGGAGUCUUUCAGUGCAAGGUACUGUUGCAGGUUCUGUUUAGCGGAAAAGGAGGACUUUCAGACAGAAUUCUCUGAAGAUUCUUCCAACAUUUUAGUCGGUUAGACAUUGGUCCAGGAAAAAUUGUCUUUAAAUAUGGUAAAAGGAGGUUCUGAAAUUGCUAUGGCAAUGCAAGUGUCCAGUAGCAUUCAGGUAAUGAACAUAAUGGGUUUGUUUAUCGCCAAAACUUGGUUAUCUGUGGCAAAGUUGAAUCUGAAGUGCCUGUGUUUUAUCAGAUGGAGUCAGUUCUGAUAAUGUGUGAAAAACUGUUGCUUCUCACAAUGCCUUUAGGUACAGUAACAUUUCAAGAACAUUUCCAUGCAUAUGAGGUGAUCAGGACAAAGCAGGAUUUUGUUUUUUUUUCACGUCGACAACCUGCAUUACCCUAUGCCUUUUGACUUAAAAAUGUCAUAUGGAGGGAAUGACACAACUCUCUUUGUCGUGCCAUAUUGCUUUCUCUGGUAAACAUUUUGUGAUGUUCAUGGUGUUGUACAUGUUAUGUUUCUGUCAGAGACAAGGCAAUGUGUUUGCAAUGUAAAUUCAAUUACAUUGAAAUGCUUUAUUUAUUUAUUU